GACGAACGCUGGCGGCGUGCCUAAUACAUGCAAGUAGAACGCUGAAGGAGGAGCUUGCUCUUCUGGAUGAGUUGCGAACGGGUGAGUAACGCGUAGGUAACCUGCCUGGUAGCGGGGGAUAACUAUUGGAAACGAUAGCUAAUACCGCAUAACAGUAGAUGUUGCAUGACAUUUGCUUAAAAGGUGCAAUUGCACCACUACCAGAUGGACCUGCGUUGUAUUAGCUAGUUGGUGGGGUAACGGCUCACCAAGGCGACGAUACAUAGCCGACCUGAGAGGGUGAUCGGCCACACUGGGACUGAGACACGGCCCAGACUCCUACGGGAGGCAGCAGUAGGGAAUCUUCGGCAAUGGACGGAAGUCUGACCGAGCAACGCCGCGUGAGUGAAGAAGGUUUUCGGAUCGUAAAGCUCUGUUGUAAGAGAUGAACGAGUGUGAGAGUGGAAAGUUCACACUGUGACGGUAUCUUACCAGAAAGGGACGGCUAACUACGUG
rnacentral:rRNA from 1 species